CCUGACAAGUGUCCAACAGUCAGUCCCCAAGCUCGCAUGCGUCGCUGGUAACGGCGGGGUGUGAAGCCGAGCCGGAAAGCCCAAGGGU
rfam:Streptomyces bingchenggensis BCW-1, complete genome.